GGAUGAAAUGACCGGGGAUGAAGUGGCCAAAGAUGAAAUGACGGUCAUUUCAUCCCCAGUCAUUUCAUCUUUGGCCUCUUCAUCCCCGGUCAUUUCAUCCUCA
rnacentral:pre_miRNA from 1 species